GACGAACGCUGGCGGCGUGCUUAACACAUGCAAGUCGAACGGAAAGGCCCUGCUUUUGUGGGGUGCUCGAGUGGCGAACGGGUGAGUAACACGUGAGUAACCUGCCCUUGACUUUGGGAUAACUUCAGGAAACUGGGGCUAAUACCGGAUAGGAGCUCCUGCUGCAUGGUGGGGGUUGGAAAGUUUCGGCGGUUGGGGAUGGACUCGCGGCUUAUCAGCUUGUUGGUGGGGUAGUGGCUUACCAAGGCUUUGACGGGUAGCCGGCCUGAGAGGGUGACCGGCAACAGGGGGACUGAGAGAGGCACCAGCCCCAGACGGGGGGCAGAGGGGGGAAGGGGGAAAAAGGGGCGGGGGGCCGAAGCCGGAACCCGCCGGGGGGGGAGGGGGGCUUGGGGUUGAGAACCGGUUUCCCCUGGGGAAGGGGGGGGAGGGAAGGGAAGGGGAAAAAAAACCCGGGCUAAACACGGG
rnacentral:rRNA from 1 species